UGCGGGCGGCGGGGCCGGGCCGGGCCGGGCCUGGCCUGGCCCCGCGGGGGGGCUGGUGCGGAGCGGCGGGCAUGGCCGGCAGAGCCACGCAGCCCCUGGCCGUGUCGCAGCCCCCCGGCGGCGGCGGCGGCCACCAGCACCACCCCUACCCGCACCCGGUGGCGGCGGAGGGCGAGGGCCCGGAGGAGGAGGCCGAGGCCUUCGAGCUGCGGCCGCGGGGCCGGGAGAAGGUGCGGCGGAGCGCCUCGAGGGACCGGCCGGAUGACAUCGUCCUGCUGACGAGGGACAUCCAGGAAGGGGACACGCUGAACGCCAUCGCGCUGCAGUUCUGCUGCUCGGUUGCAGAUAUCAAGAGAGUUAAUAAUCUUAUCAACGAUCAAGAUUUUUUUGCCUUGAGGUCUAUCAAAAUCCCUGUGAAAAAGUUCAGUGUACUGACCGAGACACAUGCCUCUCCAAAAGGAAGGCCAGUCCUUCGGCCAGCUCACUGUUCCCCAGAAGUGCUGGAAACAUCACCUUCUGACAAAUUCUCUGCUAAUGAGACUGCUGGCAACUUCUUAAAAGAAGUGGAUCGAGAUAUAGAAGAGAUUGUGAAGUGCAACGAUACGAAGAGAGAGAACCUUAAUGAAGUUGUUUCUGCCUUAGCAGCCCAACAGGCUGGAGAAAUGUUCUGUCAAGAAAAAUCUGAAAAAGGAGAAGUGCAGAGUCCUGCCCCUGUGGAGGAACAAGCCCAGGCACAGGGACAAGUUGGAAAGCAGCUCUGCAGAAAAGGACCUGGGGUCCUGCUGGACAACAAAUUGAACGUGAGUUAGCAAAGUGCCCUUGCUGCCAAGAAGUCUAACGGCAUCCUGGGCUGCAUGAGGGAGACACUGAGAGUAGCUGAAGAUUUGACUCCAUCAAGUAGCUGCAUACCUGUUUUUUUUUACUGAAAAUGUCAUUUUUUGUGGAAAAACAGUCAUGAAAGAUGACUGGGCACAGUCAUCAACACGUAAGGCACAGUCAGCAAUACUGAGAGACCACCACACCUCAGAAAGAAAGAUGCAGAAGCAAAGAUGAUUUUGAGGUAAGAACCACCAUGUGAAGCACAGUUGGAAAAGAGAGCUAAUGUUCUCAUGAAGUAGCUGCUUCCUUGGAAAUUACUCAGACAGGCUUUCAGGCAUGGCAGUUUCCUUUUUUGUGCCUCAAACAGAAAUAGCAAAUUUCAAGCCUGACAAAGAUCAAGGACACAGGAAGCUUCUGCGAGAUAAGAACCUCAAAAUAGUGAAAUUUGUUUACUUAAGAGAUGAAGGAGUAAUUUUGAAUUCUUCUACAAUCAUAAAUGGAUCUAGAGAUGAAGAUCAGAUCUCUUGUUCUCCUUGCCUCAUAACCAAGCGUUUACCUGGCAACACCACUGUGCUGUGCUACAGCUGCCUUCUGUGUCCUGGUGAUUGCCCUACUCCAGCUGUGGGUCAGAAGAAAUAUUCUGCUUUUUGAGAGCCACUUGUUGAGAGUUCAAGAGGGACUGGGAUCCAGGAGCUCAUGCCUGCCACAGAAAUAGGUAGCAAGUAUCAGAUGAUCAGCGGUAUCUGCUGUGAGAAGCCAGGGUUCCUGAAACUACUUCAGUCUCUGUAGGAAUUCAGGGGCAGCAGAAAUUCCCAGGGAGUUUCUGAAGGAAUACUGAAACACCACAGAGACUGGCUGAACAUCUGUGUUCAAAUUAAAAAAAAGGGGGGAGAAGGCUGUAUGCUCAUACCAAAGUGUGCUGCUCCGGUUCAAACAGUGAUUUAGUACAAGAACAAUUGGACAAUCAAUAAGGUGCAUUAAUCACAGUACUGUACUGAAAGCCUAGCAAAAGAUAAAAGUUGCACACAGUCUCAAAAACGGCUGGAAUUCACCAGUACACCAUGAAUUAAAUUUACUCACAUUUCAGAGAGGAUGAGACUGUGUAAUUGUAUAUCUUUAUCAUGAAUAUCCAGAGUCAGAAAAUUCUUUGAUGGGUUCAGGAUGGAUAUUAAAGCUCAUGUUUCAGAGUUCAGGUGAGUUCUCAUUAUUCAGAAUCAGCACACAAUAGCAACAGGAAAGAUUAUCUGGUGUUUGGCUAUACUGGAUUUCUUAAACAUUUUUAUAAAGCUUGCUAGAGGCAGCCUACUGCACUGACUGGACCUUGGGUCUGACACAAACAGCAUUUCUCAAUACGCUCUACUUCCUACCUUCCUGUAAUAGUGCUUAUCAUUUAUAGCACUCAGAAAAAGCACCAGCACCUACAGGAGGAUGGCAGAAACAGGCAAAAAUCACAAGUGAAAAGAAGCACUCCUCCCAGUAAUAACCUCCUGUGACUCUUCUGUGUUUAAAAUACUGCCACAGUGAGGUAAACAGACAUUGAGCUGCUCCUUCCCUGCUCCCCUUUCCUUCCUUCCCACUAGCUCAGUUUUCUGACCAAGAAGCUUGGAUUUUAAGAGUAUAAUGAUGUAUAAUUGCAUGUCCAGUAUCGCAGAGCAUUUCUUUUUAACCAAGCAAUAACAAGGCUGUUAAUGUUUAAUUACAUAUAAGAAAAAGCCAUUCUCAAGUCACAUACAGUAAGAGCAAGCUUUUAGCUUCAAAUCCAGCUCUAGUGAUGCAAACCUUGGUAAAUCACUUAUUCUCAUCUCAAUCUUUGUAUUUCAGGUGACUUGUCAGUAAUACUUACCAAUCUUCCCUGAAUGGACUCAGG